rnacentral:rRNA from 1 species
UACGGGGGGGGCAAGCGUUGUUCGGAAUUACUGGGCGUAAAGGGCUCGUAGGUGGCCAACUAAGUCAGACGUGAAAUCCCUCGGCUUAACCGGGGAACUGCGUCUGAUACUGGAUGGCUUGAGUUCGGGAGAGGGAUGCGGAAUUCCAGGUGUAGCGGUGAAAUGCGUAGAUAUCUGGAGGAACACCCGUGGCGCAAGCGGCCACCUGGCAGAGACCUGACGCUGAGGCACGAAAGCGUGGGGAGCGAACCGG